rnacentral:rRNA from 1 species
UACAGAGGGUGCGAGCGUUAAUCGGAAUUACUGGGCGUAAAGCGUGCGUAGACGGUUACGUAAGUCGGGUGUGAAAGCCCCGGGCUCAACCUGGGAAUUGCAUUCGAGACUGCGUAGCUAGGGUGCGGAAGAGGGAAGCGGAAUUUCGGGUGUAGCGGUGAAAUGCGUAGAUAUCCGGAAGAACACCAGUGGCGAAGGCGGCUCACUGGACGACUGUUGACGCUGAGGUGCGAAAGCGUGGGGAGCAAACAGG